AACCAACAAUAUCGCAUUUCCAGCCUGUACCAGCGCAACCAGUAGUAUCGCAAAUAGUAAUUUCACAUUUCUAGUUUGUGACAGGGCAAAUAGUAGUUUCACAUUUCUAGCCUGUGACAGGGCAAACAGUCGUUUCACAUUUCUAACCUGUAACGGGACAAACAAUAGUAUCACAUUUUCAGUCUGUGAUAGGGCGACCAAUGAUGACAAGACGAGCCCAAAG
rnacentral:lncRNA from 1 species